rnacentral:lncRNA from 10 species
GGUGAAUGCCUGUAAUCCCAGCUACUUGGGAGGCUGAGGCAGGAGAACUGCUUGAACCCCGGAGGUGGAGGUUGAAGUGAGCCAAGAUAGUGCCACUAUCCAGCCUGGGCGACAGAGCAAGACUCCCUCUCAAAAAAAGAAAAAAUGAAAAAUGCAGCUUUAGCAAGAAUGGAAGUCACUGAGGUUGGACUGCAGAAAAGACUACCUAACAUUGGAACAAUUAUGAACUCUCCUUGGAGAAGCUCUUACUGGGUUGAAAUGGCUCAUGUUCGGCCAGGCAUGGUGGCAAAAAAAAAGAAAAGAAAGAAAAAGAAGGACAGAGGAUAGGAUUGUAUGACCUCAAAUUGCAUGACCUUA